UGGAUCCAGACUUUGAUCAUGGCUCAGGACGAACGCUGGCGGCGUGCUUAACACAUGCAAGUCGAACGGACGGACUCGAUAGCUUGCUAUUGGGAAAGUUAGUGGCAAACGGGUGAGUAACGCGUAGGCAACCUGCCCUUCAGAUGGGGACAACACUUCGAAAGAGGCGCUAAUACCGAAUGACGUAUCCAUUCCGCAUGGAGAGGAUACCAAAGGCCGGGCAAUCGGUCACUGAAGGAUGGGCCUGCGUCUGAUUAGCUAGUUGGUGGGGUAACGGCCCACCAAGGCGACGAUCAGUAGCCGGUCUGAGAGGAUGAACGGCCACAUUGGGACUGAGACACGGCCCAAACUCCUACGGGAGGCAGCAGUGGGGAAUCUUCCGCAAUGGGCGCAAGCCUGACGGAGCAACGCCGCGUGAGUGAAGAAGGUUUUCGGAUCGUAAAGCUCUGUUGAGAGGGACGAGAAGCAAGGCUAGGAAAUGAGCUUUGUAGGACGGUACCUCUCGAGGAAGCCACGGCUAACUACGUGCCAGCAGCCGCGGUAAUACGUAGGUGGCGAGCGUUGUCCGGAAUUAUUGGGCGUAAAGGGAGCGCAGGUGGGAAAGUAAGUCAGUCUUAAAAGUGCGGGGCUCAACCCCGUGAGGGGAUUGAAACUACUUUUCUUGAGUGCAGGAGAGGAAAGCGGAAUUCCUAGUGUAGCGGUGAAAUGCGUAGAUAUUAGGAGGAACACCAGUGGCGAAGGCGGCUUUCUGGACUGUAACUGACACUGAGGCUCGAAAGCCAGGGGAGCGAACGGGAUUAGAUACCCCGGUAGUCCUGGCCGUAAACGAUGGAUACUAGGUGUAGGAGGUAUCGACCCCUUCUGUGCCGGAGUUAACGCAAUAAGUAUCCCGCCUGGGGAGUACGGUCGCAAGACUGCAACUCAAAGGAAUUGACGGA
rnacentral:rRNA from 1 species